ACUCAGGGAAGUGAAACAUCUCAGUACCUGAAGGAAAAGAAAACAAAAGUUAUUCUGCAAGUAGCGGCGAGCGAAAACAGAGAAGCCCAAACCACAGGUAGUAAUACCUGAUGGGGUAGUAAGAUAGAAACGUAGUUUACUAGAAGAGUUACAAAAGAUACAUAUAGAUAAAGUUGUUGGAAAGCAACGCCAAAGAAAGUGAUAGCCUUGUUAUCGAAAUGUGUAUCUCUCUUUUGUUUCUAAUCUUGAGUAAUUCGAGACACGAAUAGCUCGGAUGAAUCAACCGGAACUAACCGGUAAGGCUAAAUAUUGUUAGAGACCGAUAGUGAACUAGUACCGUGAGGGAAAGGUGAAAAGAACCCCGGAAGGGGAGUGAAAUAGAACUGAAACCGUAUGUUUACAAAGAGUAGAAGAGGUAUUUAUACCUCGACUGCGUGCCUAUUGAAGAAUGAGCCAACGAGUUGUAGGUUACUGCAGGCUAAGUGGUAUAAAGUCACGGAGCCAUAGCGAAAGCAAGUAUGAUAAGUGCGAACAAAUUGUAGUAGCUUACAGACCCGAAGCCGGAUGAGCUUACCAUGAGCAGGGUGAAGUACAUCGAAAGAUGUAUGGAGGCCCGAACCAGUAGGUUGUACGACUCCUUUGGAUGACUUGUGGUAAGGAGUGAAAAGCUAAUCGAAUUCGGUAAUAGCUGGUUCUCUCCGAAAUAGUUUUUGGACUAGCGUCGCGUGUUCCCUUUGGGGGUAGAGCACUGGAAGGUUUUGACUAGUAGAAAUACGGCAACACCUAUCAAACUCCGAAUACCAAAGGUUAAAAAUGCGGCAGUAAGACCACGGGGGCGAAGCUCCGUCGGUCAAAAGGGAAACAGCCCAGAUCUCAAGUUAAGGUCCCUAAGUAUAGAUUAAGUGUAAGCGAGGAGGUGGAGUUUCAUUGACAAUGAGGAUGUUGGCUUAGAAGCAGCCAUCAUUGAAAGAAAGCGUAACAGCUCACCCAUCGAGAGACUCUGCGCCACAAAUAAUCGGGACUAAAAUCUAUCACCGAAACUGAGGGCUUACUAUUUAUAGUGAGCGGUAGGAGAGUGUUCCACUCUGCGUUGAAGCUAAAGGGGUGACCCAUAGUGGAGCGUGUGGAAGUACGAAUGUUGGCACAAGUAACCGCAAGGAGGGUGAGAUCCCCUCCCGCCGAAAGAAUAAGGUUUCCUUUCCAAUGAUUGUCAGGGAAGGGUUAGUCGGGCCUAAGGAGAUGGCAAACGCCGGAUCCGAUGGACAUAAGGUUAAUAUUCCUUAACUCGGUACUAAUGUGAUGGGAUGACGGAGGGUAGUAUGUAAAGCGACUUAUUGGAUUGUCGUUUAUUGUGUAAGGAGGAGGUACAGGGAAAUCCGUACUUCUGGGUUAAACCCGAUUCCAAGCACCGUAUGAAGAUGAGAGGCAACUCGAUUCAACUUUACAAAGCACACUUCCGAGAAAAGUCUCUACAUCUUGUGAAUACAAGACUUCUACAUGUGCUCUGUGUAAACAGACUACAUGUAGAUGCUUAAGUUAGUAUUGAUCCGUACCGCAAACCGACACAGGUAUUCGAGUCGAGUAGACUAAGGCGAACGAGUGAUAUCUCCCUAAGGAACUAGGCAAAAAAGCGAUCGUAAGUUAGCGAUAAGAUCUGCCUCCAUCACUUUGUUUUUAAACAAAGUGAUUGCCUAGAGAAUUAGAUAAAAUAUUGAGACAAAUGAAGCACACAUAUUAGAGCUAGUAUGUGUGCAAAGAACGUAUUUAAGAAAUACAAAAAUAGUGUGACGGAAAUUAAUUCUCUAGAGCACCAUGACUUUGAAAAUAAAGUGAUGGAGGCCGCAGCGAAAGUUUCCCUAGCGACUGUUUACCAAAAACACAGCUUCCUGCGAACACGUAAGUGGAUGUAUAGGAGGUGACGCCUGACCAAUGCGGGAAGGUUAAAUAUCGGUGGUGCGCAAGCGCUGGAUGAUAUAAGCCCCCGUCAAUGUCGGCCGUAACUAUAACGGUCCUAAGGUACUGGUUGCCGCAAACGUAACCAGUAGGACUAGGACGGUUAUAUGUAGUUUUUGAGAAACAUUCUAAUCAUACGCCUACUAAAAGCUACCUCAUUUAUAGAAAUAUGAAUCGAGUCCGAAGUGGUUAGCGAGAGACCAACGCCACACACCUGAACAUUUAGUUGAAGGUGAAGAUAGAGUCCUUCUUGAGGAAUAGAAGAGCGAAAUUCCUUGUCUGGUAAGUUCAGACGUGCACGAAUGGCGUAACGACUGGGGAACUGUCUCAGGGAGUAGCUCGGUGAAAAUACAGUGGGGGUGAAGAUGCCCCCUAGCUGCAGAUAGACGAAAAGACCCCGUGAGCUUUACUCUAGCUUGAUAUUGCGAAUGUUUCAUUACUGCGUAGAAUAGUGGUGAGAGGUUUGAUGUGUAUGAUUUCGGUUGUACUCUACUCGACAGUGAAAUAGCCAUCUGUAAUGAGGCAUUCGCUAACGUAAACGGAAAAAACGUUUGCAGACAGUAUCUGGUGGGGAGUUUAACUGGGGCGGUUUCCUCCCAAAAGGUAACGGAGGAGUAUAUUAAGGUCAUCUAGGCGCGAAUGGAAACCGUGCCGAUAGCGUAAGGGCAUAAGAUGGCUUGACUGUAAGACGGGCAUGUCGAGCAGAUACGAAAGUAGAUCCUAGUGAACCUACUCUUGGCUUUAGACGCCGGAGCAGAUUAACGGAUAGAAGCUACCACGGGGAUAACAGGCUAGUUGUGCCUAAGAGUUCAUAUCGACGGCACAGUUCGGCACCUUAACUAAAUCGGGGUGCGUCAGAGGAGACUCUGUAGCAACACAUGUACAAUCGUCAAAUAAAUAAUAUGUACACAAGAAAUCUUGGCUUAUAACGGUGAAGCCCUUGUACAUGAACAAUACAAGGGUAAUACCGUGGGAAGUUUACGAGUAAGAAAGCGAUCACUGUAUCUUUUUUGAUACAAGCUGCAACAUUUUUAA
rnacentral:rRNA from 1 species